UUAGGACUAAGUCGUAACAAGGUAGCCGUACCGGAAGGUGCGGCUGGAUCACCUCCUUUCUAAGGAGCA
rnacentral:rRNA from 1 species